AUCCUUUUGUAGUUCAUAAGUGUGAUGAUUGGGUGUCCAUGCUCACGCGUGACAUGUGCCUCCCACAAACCUUGUUACGACAUCAGCACAUUAUCUGUCAGAUG